CCUGAGGCUUAAAAAGCGGAAAUCAGCUCCUAAAUUGAGUGGGUUUCGACGAUAAGGCGACGAGGCUUCUGAGGCGGUGACCAAGGUUCCAAAAGGAAACAAGCUUAUGCAAAUCUCUUAGAACCCAUUAGCUUUCUCAAGGAUUUGGCUGUAAAGGAGACUAUUUUCGCACUUGGAGUUCGAUUUGCAGACUUCGAGUUCGAUUAUUGGAGUUCGAUUCCCAGACUUGGAGUUGGAAUAUGCCCAGUAUAGUUUACACUGUCCUAGAAUAUUGUCAAAGAUGCAUCUUUAGGUUUCUCGAAUUAGCAGUUCUGUUGGGUUCCCGGGCUCUCUUGCUCCCAGGUUAUGAUGGCGGUGGGUAUUGUGAAUUUGUGAUGUCGGGGAUACUCAUGUUCUGAUUCAAUCUGUUUUCUGUCCUGUCCUUUACUACUUUUAGCAACCGAUCAUACAUGCAUGGAAAUUGGUUUGGUUCGGUACUAAUUAAAGUCGAGUAUUAUUUUCUCUGUAGAUGUGUAAAAGCGGCGAAUUUGAUUCAUCAUCUUGAUUAUCCUUCAUUCCUUCUGCAAUUGUGAAUUAGAAUAUAGUAGAAUCCAUCUCAAUGGAUAUAACAGUUACAUUCAAGCCAGUAGCUAAGUUCAGGCCAAAAUAGAGACCCCAUAAUUCUGCAUUAAUAACUUGGCCAGCAGGUUAGCAGCAAACCUGCCACGAAUGAUACCACCAGGGCACCAGGCCCAACUUUAGUGAGCUAGAAGAACGAUUAUCACUGAAGUUCAGGUUACCAGUAUAACAGGAAGCUUUUGUGUGAAGGCGAGCAAUAAGCCAAUCACUGAAGUUCUGGUUACCAGUUCAUUUAAGCUAAUCACUAAAUGGUGAUGGUGUAUUACUUGUACUGUGUUUCAUCUUUACUUAAUAAUCUUGACAUAUUCUUGGUGGUUUA